UGAGCGCUAGCUACAGGCUUAACACAUGCAAGUCGAGGGGAAACGGCAUCGAAAGCUUGCUUUUGAUGGGCGUCGACCGGCGCACGGGUGAGUAACGCGUAUCCAACCUGCCCAUCACUUGGGAAUAACCUUGCGAAAGUAAGACUAAUGCCCAAUGACAUCCCACGAAGGCAUCCGAAUGGGAUUAAAGAUUUAUCGGUGAUGGAUGGGGAUGCGUCUGAUUAGCUUGUUGGCGGGGUGACGGCCCACCAAGGCAACGAUCAGUAGGGGUUCUGAGAGGAAGGUCCCCCACAUUGGAACUGAGACACGGUCCAAACUCCUACGGGAGGCAGCAGUGAGGAAUAUUGGUCACUGGGCGAGAGCCUGAACCAGCCAAGUAGCGUGCAGGAUGACGGCCCUAUGGGUUGUAAACUGCUUUUAUAAGGGAAUAAAGUGGGUCACGUGUGACUUUUUGCAUGUACCUUAUGAAUAAGGACCGGCUAAUUCCGUG
rnacentral:rRNA from 1 species